rnacentral:tRNA from 1 species
CGGGGAGUAGCGCAGCCCGGUAGCGCACCUCGUUCGGGACGAGGGGGGCGCUGGUUCAGAUCCAGUCUCCCCGACCA